GGUUGAUCCUGCCAGUAGUCAUAUGCUUGUCUUAAAGAUUAAGCCAUGCAUGUUUAAGUUCAUACCCUUGAAUGGUGAAACCGCGAAUGGCUCAUUAAAUCAGUUAUAAUUUUAUGGGAUGUGAUUUGUUAAUUGGAUAACUGUGGUAAUUCUAGAGCUAAUACAUGCAUCAUACGGCUGGGUUCGCCCCGGCUGUGCUUUUAUUAGUGCAAACCAGGCCUCCGGGCAUAUGAGGCUUCGUAAUUGGAAUGAGUACAUUCUAAAUCCUUUAACGAGGAACUAUUGGAGGGCAA
rnacentral:rRNA from 1 species